UUUCACCUGGGCGUCAUUCACUCCCUCUCUCUCUCUCCUCUCCUCCCCAUCAUUCACCUUUUUCUCUAAUUUCGAACUCAAACCUUCUCUCCUCUCCUCCAUCAAUCUUAGAGAAAAAAUGGUUACCUUCUGUCAAAUUUGAAUUGGGAGUUGUCUCCAAUUUCACAACCUCCAUUUUCCAACUACUGUGUUUUCGUUGUCGUUGUCAAUGUUGCCGUUGUUGACUACUCUUCCGGCGAAGUCCGAUGACUUGCUUUCUGAAUGGAAGAGAGUUUAUCUUUCGAUUGAUCCUAGUGUUGUUCUACUUGAUAUCGCCUUUGUUCCCGAUGAUCCUAAUCACAGUACUCGCCUUCUUUUUUUAGUUUGUUGAUUUUUUAUUUUAAUUAGCUUUUGUGUCAUUUGAUUUUUCUAAUGUUUGUGGUUUAAUUUUCGUUUCAAUUUAUAUUUAUUGGCCGAAUUUUCAUUUCAGUUAUAUUUGUAUAAUCAGAAUUUUCUAGUAUUUGUUGUUUAAUUUUCAUUUGAAUAAUUGAUUUUUUGGCUGAUUUUUCAUUUUGAGUUAAUUUUGUAUACUCUGAAUUUUCUAAUAUUUGUUUUAAUUGUUUUUUUUUGGCUGAUUUUUCAUUUUGAGUCAAUUUUGUAUACUCUAAAUUUUCAAAUAUUUGUUUUAAUGGUUUAAUUUGUUAUUGGUUUCCUCCUCCAUUGCUGCGUUUGAAGCCUCCACUUACCUUCUGCUCGCCGCCAGUGAGUCGCCAUGGUCCACGUCGUCUACGCAAUUGCAAUUUCUCCUUUUCCCCUUUUUUUAUUCUUUUUUUUUUGUUAUUUCCAUUUUAUCUGAUUUUUUCAAUCAAUCUGCUUUAUAUUCUUUUUGUUUUUCUCAGAUUAGUUUAUUCAAACAUUUGAAUUCACCUGGGUUUUUAUUUAUGUGAUUAGCUUUUUUUUGUAUUUGAUUAAUUUUUAUCUAUUUGUUAUGCAUUAUCUCUGUUUUUACUGGACUAAUUAAUUUAUAUAGUUGAAAUCAGCUAGAAAAUUUUUAAUUGAUUGAUAAACUGAAUUUUUAGGGCUUGUGAUUUUGUGUCUCAAAUCGUUGUAUUUGUUGUAAAGUUUGUACAUUUUACUUGAUUUGUAGUUUAUGGUUUAUCAUGUUAGGGUAAUGACCUGUUUUUAUAUAUGAAAUGUUGCAAAUCGGUAGCUUCUGUUGGUUUGUUCUUCUAAUUAAGUUGCUUUUUUUCCACUAGUGUUUUAUACUACUUAUGAGUGUUAGGGGGUCAUAUUGCUCGUUUUAAUUUUACGCCGUAUUUAUAAAUUGAAUUUUGAUUGUCAGGGAGAACUGUGGUGAAAAGAUGGAGGAGUUUCUGAAGAGAUGUUUCUACCAAUCUGGCUGGGAGGAUUGCUAAUCGACUCUUCUAUUUGUGAAUUCUACCAAACAUCUUUAUAGAUGCGGUGAGAUGUGCAAGUUUAUCUGCAUCCUCUGCAAAUGGGUGGACCCGGGUCAUUAUAGAGAAACCUUUUGGUCAGGAUUCAGAGUCCUCUGCCGCUUUGACUAGUGGACUUAAGCAGUACUUGAAUGAAGAUCAGAUUUUCAAGUGAUUGUUUUUUACUGGAUUUUAGUGCUGCUCUUACAGUAAAACACAUGUGUGACUCAAAUGACUGAUCCAUUGCCUGUUCUGCGUACAAGAUAGAUUAUUAUCUUGGGAAGGAACUUGUUGAAAAAUUUUCCGUUGUAGAUUUUUGCAGUUGUGCUUAUCUCACAUCAAUGCUUGUUAGCUUCUACAUACCUAGCGCAGAUUCCCAUCAAAGAACAGCCUAUUCUAAUGAGUUGUAAACUCGUAACUCGUGCGAAAACAAAGGUAAACACCAAAGCUCCCAACCAUGGCAGAAUCCAUUGCUGCAUCAGCUAUAUAGUGGAUUGGCUCUAUAUUGAUUCAAGAGGCCAAUAAAAUAUUCGAUGUUGCAGAUCAAGUACGGGGCCUUCAGCAAGAGCUUAAACUGAUGCAGCAUGUCUGAAGAUAACUGGAUCAUGAGAUUUGCUUGCUUCAUUCAUAGUGCCCCAAAGAUGUAUGAAGUUGGGAAGCAUAUAUAUGAAACACGAGAAGAAGUUGAGAAAAUCGUUGAAAAGUUAAAUAGCAUUGGACUAAGAAGAAUCAAUAAAGUAGAAGGUUUUUAGUUUUUGUUAUUAGGCGAUAAUAAAUGUAUUUUUUUUUUUUCUGAUUGUAUAAAUAUGAAGCACUUUUUUUUUUUAUCUCAAUUAAUUAAUAAAAUAAUUGUGCUAUAAUUUUAUGCAAGCUAGCUAAUCCAGCACAACAUGUGCUGGAUAUUUUUUUUUAAUUGGGGUACACACUAUUUGUAACGGGUACAAC